AUUGAACGCCGGCGGCAUGCCUUACACAUGCAAGUCGAACGGUAACAGGUCUUCGGAUGCUGACGAGUGGCGAACGGGUGAGUAAUACAUCGGAACGUGCCCGAUCGUGGGGGAUAACGAAGCGAAAGCUUUGCUAAUACCGCAUACGAUCUACGGAUGAAAGCAGGGGACCGCAAGGCCUUGCGCGAACGGAGCGGCCGAUGGCAGAUUAGGUAGUUGGUGGGAUAAAAGCUUACCAAGCCGACGAUCUGUAGCUGGUCUGAGAGGACGACCAGCCACACUGGGACUGAGACACGGCCCAGACUCCUACGGGAGGCAGCAGUGGGGAAUUUUGGACAAUGGGCGAAAGCCUGAUCCAGCCAUGCCGCGUGCAGGAUGAAGGCCUCCGGGUUGUAAACUGCUUUUGUACGGAACGAAAAGACUCUGGUUAAUACCUGGGGUCCAUGACGGUACCGUAAGAAUAAGCACCGGCUAACUACGUGCCAGCCGCCGCGGUAAGAC
rnacentral:rRNA from 1 species